UAAUGCCUACGGGGGGCAGCAGUGGGGAAUAUUGCACAAUGGGGGAAACCCUGAUGCAGCGACGCCGCGUGAGUGAAGAAGUAUCUCGGUACGUAAAGCUCUAUCAGCAGGGAAGAAAAUGACGGUACCUGACCAAGAAGCCCCGGCUAACUACGUGCCAGCAGCCGCGGUAAUACGUAGGGGGCAAGCGUUAUCCGGAUUUACUGGGUGUAAAGGGAGCGUAGACGGCCGUGCAAGUCUGAUGUGAAAACCCGGGGCUCAACCCCGGGACUGCAUUGGAAACUGCAUGGCUGGAGUGUCGGAGG
rnacentral:rRNA from 1 species